rnacentral:sRNA from 2 species
UAAAUAGAGAGCUAGGGUUCCGGUCAUUCGAUUAAUCAUCCAAUGAUGUCUGGUCCGAGAGCUUUCGACCUCUGCCGCCAGACCUUCUGGCAGGUCAUGGGUUACACGGCGGGACAAAAGCCCGGGAGAU